rnacentral:rRNA from 1 species
UGGCGAACGGGUGAGUAACACGUGAGUAACCUGCCCUUGACUUUGGGAUAACUUCAGGAAUCUGGGGCUAAUACCGGAUAGGAGCUCCUGCUGCAUGGUGGGGGUUGGAAAGUUUCGGCGGUUGGGGAUGGACUCGCGGCUUAUCAGCUUGUUGGUGGGGUAGUGGCUUACCAAGGCUUUGACGGGUAGCCGGCCUGAGAGGGUGACCGGCCACAUUGGGACUGAGAUACGGCCCAG